rnacentral:lncRNA from 1 species
GCCGGGGCGUCCCCCGCGGGAGCCCGCAGCCACCCGGGACGCGCAUCCAGACGUGGCGCUUCGGACCGGGCACGCUGCGCCCGGGGGCUCGGCGGACCCCGCGUAGCCGCCGCUUCGGAGCUUGUGCGGCGCGGGCUGGCCAGCGGGGCGGCCAGGGCCCGGCCCGCCUCCCCAGCGCCCGCCCGGCUUCUCCCCCUGGCGGUGGGAGCCUCGGCGGCCGCUGGCGACACUAGGCGCACUGAAGCCCGAGCCGAGCCGAGCCCGAGCCGCCGCCGCCGCCGCCGCUGCUGCGCACCGCUCCCGGGCUCCCUCCCAGCGCGCCGGCCGGGGUGUGGGGGGCGGCGGGCCGGAGGGGCGAGGGCGGGCCAGGGGGCGCACACGGGGGUUGGCGCGGAAGACAGGACCCUCAGCCUCGAGGGAGCCCCUAGGUGACCAGGCAAAAUGGCAGUUCCUUCCAGCUGGUCCUCAGAUGGGCACAUCUAUUAGCCUCUGCUCUUGUAAGAAGUUAGCUGCAGAACCCACAUGUGAAUCCUUGUAGGACUCUGGAGAAGAUCAAAUGGGAGCUUAGAUGUGGAAGCUCUUUGGAAACCAAGAAACACUCUGAAAAUGAAAAGGAUACCAACUUCAUCUCUCUUUAAGAAUACAAUAUUAGUUUAAAAGAUUGUUCAACUUAAAGCAAUCUUGUAGAGAUUGUCACCCAUGAUUGAUGCUGGGUGGAAGAGUAAACUGUUCCUGUUUCUCCAUCUUGACAGGAAGCAGAAGUUCUCCUUAGCUGAUUUUUCUUCUUGCCUUAUACUGGGUUCUUUAACACCAGAACAAAAAUAAAUAAAUAAAAGAAUCUUCCAGAAAUUCAUGAAGAGACUUCAGGUCAGGAAAGCCUGAACUUUCUCAUCCAACACCCGUUCAAGUCGGAGGAUGCUGAUUAAUUCAUGAUGGAAAGGUAUCAAUUUCACAGCCCAGACCUCUACAUUCUUGAAAUGCUCUUCUCAUGGGAGACAUUAAAUAAGCUUUGAAUUAACUGAAUGUACAGGGUGUACCAUGAACAAUUCUGACAUGUGAUUUAAUCUAUGUGGGACUACAUUUUAAAUACAUUUGGGAAGGAUUGAACAAUGAAGUGGAGCCCAUCAAUAUUGGUACUGAAAAUGAGACAUGUGCACCAAUGAAAAGUCCAUCAGGGAUUUGCUCUGCCAUAUGGGAAUCAAUGCUCCAUCAGACAGCUUUACAAAGCUGCCAUGUGUGAUUCAUAUUCGCAAACUGUGUAUUAUUUUUAUUGUCUAUUUUUCUAAUUUUUUCUCAUCCCUGAAUCCUUGGUAAAGUUUGGUUUACAUAUUCUUUCAUCACCUCAGUAAAAAAAGAAAUACAAAUAUAAUGGACCCUUUGAAACCAGGGUGGUGGUAACUAUGAUAAUAUUUCAUAGAUUUCCAGGAAAAUGUAAAUCUCAGGGAAGAGAAUUUAAGAUAAAUGUCCAGAUGCUUAUUAGAAGUA